GAUUUCGUAGUGUAGUCGUUAUCACAUCUGAAUAACACACAGAAGGUCAGCGGUUCGAGUCCUCCCGAGAUCA
rfam:Angiostrongylus costaricensis strain Costa Rica genome assembly, scaffold: ACOC_scaffold0002452